rnacentral:rRNA from 2 species
UCGAGCGAUGAAACUUUAACAGAACCCUUCGGGGCGAAGAUAAAGUGGAUUAGCGGCGGACGGGUGAGUAACACGUGAGUAACCUGCCUCAGACAUUGGGAUAGCCUCGGGAAACCGGGAUUAAUACCAAAUAAAAUCAUAAUGACACAUGUCAUAACGAUCAAAACUCCGGUGGUCUAAGAUGGACUCGCGUCCCAUUAGCUAGUUGGUAGAGUAAAAGCCUACCAAGGCGACGAUGGGUAGCCGGCCUGAGAGGGUGAACGGCCACAUUGGAACUGAGAAACGGUCCAAACUCCUACGGGAGGCAGCAGUGGGGAAUAUUGCACAAUGGAGGGAACUCUGAUGCAGCGACGCCGCGUGAACGAAGAAGGCUUUCGAGUCGUAAAGUUCUUUUAUAUGGGAAGAUAAUGACGGUACCAUAAGAAAAAGCCCCGGCUAACUACGUGCCAGCAGCCGCGGUAAUACGUAGGGGGCUAGCGUUGUCCGGAAUCACUGGGCGUAAAGGGUUCGCAGGCGGAAAUGCAAGUCAGAUGUAAAAGGCAGUAGCUUAACUACUGUAAGCAUUUGAAACUGCAUAUCUUGAGAAGAGUAGAGGUAAGUGGAAUUUUUAGUGUAGCGGUGAAAUGCGUAGAUAUUAAAAAGAAUACCGGUGGCGAAGGCGACUUACUGGGCUCAUUCUGACGCUGAGGAACGAAAGCGUGGGUAG